UUGCUAGUGAUAAGGAAAUGCUACAACGUAAGCUGGCGUCCAUUCGAACUCAGUAUUACCAAUUUCAAGCGGCCAAUCGAAAGCCUCCUUCAACAUCCCAACAACAACCUUGACUUUAUAAAUUUUCCUUUUAGUCUCAAGUUUUUUUUCUUUUUGGAUGUCGUAAUUGUAAAUCUUUUAACACUAGCAACUGUCAAACAAUUUCGUACAUGCCUUUUGAAUGCAUGCCCGUUUUGGCUUUUUAAUGCUGCAUGUUCAUAUAUUGGCUGAGUAUUUUAUUCCUUUGUUGUUGUUUGCUUUCCUUCUUUUGGGCUACUCUCCCAAGCCUUAUUAAUGGCACUUUGUAAGGAAUGAAGCGAACAUGUUUCCAAAGCAGUCAACAUAAUUAACUAUAUGGCUUUGAGCAUUAAUGCAAUGGCAUUUCCUAUGCAAACCGACCGUGGUUAGUUGUAACUGCCUAGCUAUUAACGCGUAUUAAUCCUUCUAUAAAUACCCACGCCU
rnacentral:lncRNA from 1 species